CGUGGUGCGGAGUGAUUCCCCCCAAUCCCCGCAUCACUGAGGCGGCACCUGUUCCCCCCAAUAGGUGCCGCCCCUU
rfam:Leifsonia sp. Root60 contig_2, whole genome shotgun sequence.